UGAACGCUGGCGGCGUGCUUAACACAUGCAAGUCGAACGGGAUCCUUUGGAUUCGUCUAAAGGUGAGAGUGGCGAACGGGUGAGUAACACGUUGGUGACCUGCCCCAAAGAGGGGGAUAACUACUGGAAACGGUAGCUAAUACCCCAUGUGAUCCUUAGGUUUGAACACUCUAGGAUUAAAGCUCCGGCGCUUUGGGAGGGGCCUGCGGCCCAUCAGCUAGUUGGUAGGGUAACGGCCUACCAAGGCGAAGACGGGUAGGGGACGUGAGAGCGUGACCCCCCACACUGGCACUGAAACACGGGCCAGACUCCUACGGGAGGCAGCAGUGAGGAAUAUUGCCCAAUGGACGAAAGUCUGAGGCAGCAACGCCGCGUGGAUGAUGAAGGCCUUCGGGUUGUAAAAUCCUUUUCUGAAGGAAGAGAAAGGACGGUACUUCAGGAAUAAGCGUCGGCUAACUAC
rnacentral:rRNA from 1 species